UCACAAACUUGAUAUUCUUGCUAUGCUACCUAAUGUAACCAUUUCUCUCAAGUCCACCCUGCCUUCCUCUUCUUGCCACUAAACUGUAAAAGGCCGCAGAGACAUUGCUGUUGGGCGACUCAUGACUGAUCGUAGGUCCUCACCUGUGGAAAGUGCUUCUGCCUAUGGUAGCUACAUAUUAGCUCGGGGAAGUAGCAAAUGCAUUUGUAGAAAAAGCUAUGGGCUGCUUCUUAAUGGUUUCCCUUUAGCAAUAUCAGAUUUGAUAGAUGAUGAUGACAAUGACACAGAGGAAGGAGUGGAUAAGCAAGCGAUGACAAAAAAAAUUGGCAAUGCCAAAUAUUCGUAUCAAGUGCUUGAGAAACAACAGAAAGAGUACUGAUAUAUUCCAUGGACAAGUCCUUUAUAUUUGACGUUACACCAGAGGAACUCUGCAGAGCCCAUGGAAGCUCUAUUCAGCCCUGAAAUCCUUGCAAAAGGCAGUUACCACAUUACAUCAAGAUUUGGCAGAUACAUGCUCUGGUUGGUAUUUGUGUUCUACCAGCAACAGCUGUCCGGUUAACUUGGUAUAAGAGCUUCAGCAUUGCAGCUGCAACUGCCCUUUAUUCAAGGGCCAUUGUUGGCCUAAGUGGCUGGCUUCCUGGUGCAAGAGAUGGUGGCCUCUCUGCAAAAUUGGGAAAAUUGGGAAAGUGAAAAAACUUCAAGCAAUGGUAGUCAAUUUAUUUCAACAUGGUGGCCUACAUAUGUAUCUGUCCAAGCAACAACUCACUCCUCACUAUUCAUAUUUCCACC